AUAAAUUGUCUCUCUAAAUUGCGCAUACACAAAAUCACACACCUCAUAAAUUUCGCAAAUUAAUUAUCAUAUUACAGGUUAGUUGUGAUACAACAUUUAUGUAGGCAUAAAUUGUCUCUCUAAAUUGCGCAUACACAAAAUCACACACCUCAUAAAUUUCGCAAAUUAAUUAUCAUGUUACAGGUUAGUUGUGAGCUUGCUCAACAAAAACUAAGCACUAUUUCUAAUUUAAUUGAAGCUUUGAACCUUAAAGGAACAGUGUUUGUAACUCAAAUGAGUACGAAUGGAUAAAUCACAUUUUCACUAGCCAGACACCAGAAAAUGAAAGGGUUAGUUGCAAAUUCUAUGUAAUAAUAUACAGUAGUCAGAAGACGAUCAUUG
rnacentral:lncRNA from 1 species